rnacentral:rRNA from 1 species
GGCUAACGCUGGCGGCGUGUCUUAGCCAUGCAAGUCGAGCGGACUUAUGGGGUAACUUAUAAGUCAGCGGCGGACGGCGGAGUAACACGUAGCUAACCUACCCUCUGGACGGGGAUAACCUACCGAAAGGUGGGCUAAUACCCGAUGUAGUCAUCCUGUAUAGGGGUGAUGAAAGGUGGGCUUCUGUUUACAAGCUCAUGCUGGAGGAGGGGGCUGCGGCCUAUCAGGUAGUUGGUAGGGUAAUAGCCUACCAAGCCGAUGACGGGUAGCCGGCCUGAGAGGGUGACCGGCCCGAGGGGCACUGAGAUACGGGUCCCACUCCUACGGGAGGCAGCAGGCUAGAAAUUUGGGCAAUGGGGGCAACCCUGAUCCAGCCAUGCCGCGUGAGUGAAGAAGGCCUUCGGGUUGUAAAGCUCUUUCGGCCGGGAAGAAAUCGCAUGGGUUAAUACCCUGUGCGGAUGACGGUACCGGCAUAAGAAGCACCGGCUAACUACGUG